UAUCACUAGGAAUAAAUGUUUAACGGUCUUAUUUCUGAUGGAAAUAGAUAGUAAACAUUUUGCUAUCACAUUGUGACUCUCUGAUUCGCCAUCCAGAUUCUGGAUCCACCCGUCAUGUGGGGAAGCGUACCUGAUCAUUUUAGGAUUAGCGAUCUGCUUUAACAGACUUCUGCUAAUAUAGCUGUUCUCACUCUUUAAGUCCAG